ACAGACACAAGAACCUUAGCAUAGA
rnacentral:piRNA from 1 species